UGAGGAAUAUUGGUCAAUGGGCGAGAGCCUGAACCAGCCAAGUAGCGUGAAGGAUGAAGGUCCUACGGAUUGUAAACUUCUUUUAUACGGGAAUAAAGUUUCCUACGUGUAGGAUUUUGUAUGUACCGUAUGAAUAAGCAUCGGCUAACUCCGUGCCAGCAGCCGCGGUAAUACGGAGGAUGCGAGCGUUAUCCGGAUUUAUUGGGUUUAAAGGGAGCGCAGACGGGAGAUUAAGUCAGUUGUGAAAGUUUGCGGCUCAACCGUAAAAUUGCAGUUGAUACUGGUUUCCUUGAGUGCAGUUGAGGCAGGCGGAAUUCGUGGUGUAGCGGUGAAAUGCUUAGAUAUCACGAAGAACCCCGAUUGCGAAGGCAGCUUGCUAAACUGUAACUGACGUUCAUGCUCGAAAGUGUGGGUAUCAAACA
rnacentral:rRNA from 1 species